AGUGAACGCUGGCGGUAGGCCUAACACAUGCAAGUCGAACGGCAGCACAGUAAGAGCUUGCUCUUACGGGUGGCGAGUGGCGGGCGGGUGAGGAAUACAUCGGAAUCUACUUUUUCGUGGGGGAUAACGUAGGGAAACUUACGCUAAUACCGCAUACGACCUACGGGUGAAAGCAGGGGAUCUUCGGACCUUGCGCGAUUGAAUGAGCCGAUGUCGGAUUAGCUAGUUGGCGGGGUAAAGGCCCACCAAGGCGACGAUCCGUAGCUGGUCUGAGAGGAUGAUCGGCCACACUGGAGCUGAGACACGGUCCAGACGCCUGCGGGAGGCAGCAGUGGGGAAUAUUGGGCAAUGGGGGCAAGCCUGAUCCAGCCAGAGCGCGUGGGUGAAGAAGGCGUUCGGGUUGGAAAGCCCUUUUGUUGGGAGAGAAAAGCAGCAGGUUGAUACGCCGCUGUUCUGACGGUACCCAAAGAAUAUGCACCGGCUAACUUCGUG
rnacentral:rRNA from 1 species